rnacentral:rRNA from 1 species
AGAGUUUGAUCCUGGCUCAGGAUGAACGCUUGCGGCAGGCUUAACACAUGCAAGUCGAGGGGUAACGAUAUCUUCGGAUAGGCGACGACCGGCGGACGGGUGCGUAACACGUAUGCAACCUACCUUGUACAGGAGGAUAGCCCAGAGAAAUUUGGAUUAAUACUCCAUAGUAUUAUCGAAUCGCAUGAUUUGAUAAUUAAAACUCCGGUGGUACAAGAUGGACAUGCGUCCCAUUAGCUAGUUGGUAAGGUAACGGCUUACCAAGGCAACGAUGGGUAGGGGUUCUGAGAGGAUGAUCCCCCACACUGGUACUGAGACACGGACCAGACUCCUACGGGAGGCAGCAGUGAGGAAUAUUGGUCAAUGGGCGCAAGCCUGAACCAGCCAUGCCGCGUGCAGGAAGACGGCCCUAUGGGUUGUAAACUGCUUUUCUGUAGGAAGAAUAUUAUCUACGUGUAGAUAACUGACGGUACUACAGGAAUAAGGACCGGCUAACUCCGUGCCAGCAGCCGCGGUAAUACGGAGGGUCCGAGCGUUAUCCGGAUUCAUUGGGUUUAAAGGGUGCGUAGGCGGCCAAAUAAGUCAGUAGUGAAAUCCAACGGCUCAACCGUUGAAGUGCUAUUGAAACUGUAUGGCUAGAAUUCAGAUGGAGUGGGCGGAAUGUGUUGUGUAGCGGUGAAAUGCAUAGAUAUAACACAGAACACCAAUCGCGAAGGCAGCUCACUAAGGUGAAAUUGACGCUAAUGCACGAAAGCGUGGGGAGCGAACAGGAUUAGAUACCCUGGUAGUCCACGCCGUAAACGAUGAUUACUGGUUGUCGGCGAUACACAGUCGGCGGCUGAGCGAAAGUAUUAAGUAAUCCACCUGGGGAGUACGAUCGCAAGGUUGAAACUCAAAGGAAUUGACGGGGGCCCGCACAAGCGGUGGAGCAUGUGGUUUAAUUCGAUGAUACGCGAGGAACCUUACCUGGGCUCAAACGCAUAGCGACGUAAGUGGAAACAUUUAUUUCUUCGGACGCUAUGCGAGGUGCUGCAUGGUUGUCGUCAGCUCGUGCCGUGAGGUGUCGGGUUAAGUCCCAUAACGAGCGCAACCCCUAUCCUUAGUUGCCAGCACAUAAUGGUGGGGACUCUAAGGAAACUGCCGGCGCAAGCCGCGAGGAAGGUGGGGAUGACGUCAAAUCAGCACGGCCCUUAUGUCCAGGGCUACACACGUGCUACAAUGGUCGGUACAGAGGGCAGCUACCUGGUGACAGGAUGCGAAUCUCAAAAGCCGAUCUCAGUUCGGAUCGGAGUCUGCAACUCGACUCCGUGAAGUUGGAAUCGCUAGUAAUCGCGUAUCAGCCAUGACGCGGUGAAUACGUUCCCGGGCCUUGUACACACCGCCCGUCAAGCCAUGGAAGCUGGGGGUGCCUAAAGUUCGUGACCGCAAGGAGCGACCUAGGGUAAAACUAGUAACUGGGGCUAAGUCGUAACAAGGU